rnacentral:rRNA from 1 species
GUGGGGAAUAUUUGACAAUGGGGGGAACCCUGAUCCAGCCAUGCCGCGUGUGUGAAGAAGGCCUUUUGGUUGUAAAGCACUUUAAGCGAGGAGGAGGCUACCGAGAUUAAUACUCUUGGAUAGUGGACGUUACUCGCAGAAUAAGCACCGGCUAACUCUGUGCCAGCAGCCGCGGUAAUACAGAGGGUGCAAGCGUUAAUCGGAUUUACUGGGCGUAAAGCGCGCGUAGGUGGCCAAUUAAGUAAAAUGUGAAAUCCCCGAGCUUAACGUGGGAAUUGCAUUCGAUACUGGUUGGCUAGAGUAUGGGAGAGGAUGGUAGAAUUCCAGGUGUAGCGGUGAAAUGCGUAGAGAUCUGGAGGAAUACCGAUGGCGAAGGCAGCCAUCUGGCCUAAUACUGACACUGAGGUGCGAAAGCAUGGGGAGCAAACAGGAUUAGAAACCCGUGUAGUCC